GCUCUUGUAGCUUAGUUGGUUAGAGGACCCGUUUAUUAAGCAGGAGGUCUUGAGUUCAACUCUCAACAAGAGCA
rnacentral:tRNA from 1 species